AACGAACGCUGGCGGCGUGCUUAACACAUGCAAGUCGAACGCGAACGGUUUCUUCGGAGACCAAGUAGAGUGGCGCACGGGUGAGUAACGCGUAAAUAAUCUACCCUGAUGUCUGGGAUAACCAGCCGAAAGGCUGCCUAAUACCGGCUAUAUGCUUCCCUGCUGGGGGAAUCAGGAAAGGUGGCCUCUAUUUAUAAGCUAUCGCAUUGGGAUGAGUUUGCGUACCAUUAGCUAGUUGGUGGGGUAAUGGCCUACCAAGGCGACGAUGGUUAGCGGGUCUGAGAGGAUGAUCCGUCACACUGGCACUGAAACACGGGCCAGACUCCUACGGGAGGCAGCAGUGAGGAAUAUUGCGCAAUGGGGGAAACCCUGACGCAGCGACGCCGCGUGAGUGAGGAAGGCCUUCGGGUCGUAAAGCUCUGUCAGUAG
rnacentral:rRNA from 1 species